ACAGGGAUUGCCUCAGUAACGGCGAGUGAAGCGGCAAAAGCUCAAAUUUGAAAUCCCCCCGGGGAGUUGUAAUUUGAAGAUUGCGUCUUGGAGGCGACCGUGUCUAUGUUCCUUGGAACAGGACGUCACAGAGGGUGAGAAUCCCGUGCGGCACGGCCCCCGGCUCCUUAUAAGGCGCUCUCGACGAGUCGAGUUGUUUGGGAAUGCAGCUCAAAGUGGGUGGUAAAUUCCAUCUAAAGCUAAAUACAGGCGAGAGACCGAUAGCGAACAAGUACAGUGAUGGAAAGAUGAAAAGCACUUUGAAAAGAGAGUGAAACAGCACGUGAAAUUGUUGAAAGGGAAGGGCAUGCCGUCAGAUUGUCAGUGUGGGUAAGAAGCGGGGUACAAAGACUGUGGAACGUGGCCCUCGGGUGUUAUAGCCGCAGUUCAUGCCCCGUCUCUUUCCGAGGCCUGCUUUGAGGACACCGACGUAAUGACGGUACGCCGCCCGUCUU
rnacentral:rRNA from 1 species